CUACCAUGGCGUUUACGGGUAACGGAGGAUUAGGGUUCGAUUCCGGAGAGGGAGCCUGAGAAACGGCUACCACAUCUAAGGAAGGCAGCAGGCGCGUAAAUUACCCAAUCCUGACUCAGGGAGGUAGUGACAAGAAAUAACGGACCGCGCCUCCGGGCGACGGGACUGCAAUGAGCCGAAUUUACACCCCUUAGCGAGGACCAAUUGGAGGGCAAGUCUGGUGCCAGCAGCCGCGGUAAUUCCAGCUCCAAUAGCGUAUAUUAAAGUUGUUGCAGUUAAAAAGCUCGUAGUUGGAUUUCUGCGAGGGUGCCAAUGUCCGCCGACGCGCGUGCGCAGCGGCGCCCUCGCAUCCUUCUGUUACCACCUCUCGGCAUUCGCUUGCCGGUGGUCGGCUCAGAGAAUUUACCUUGAGAAAAUUAGAGUGUUUCAGGCAGGCUAGGCCGGAAUACAUUAGCAUGGAAUAAUGGAAUAGGACUACGGUCUCGUUGUUGGUUUGAGGGACUGCAGUAAUGAUUAAUAGGGAUAGUUGGGGGCAUUAGUAUUUAAUUGUCAGAGGUGAAAUUCUCAGAUUUGUUAAAGACUAACUUAUGCGAAAGCAUUUGCCAAGGAUGUUUUCAUUAAUCAA
rnacentral:rRNA from 1 species